GACGAACGCUGGCGGCGUGCUUAACACAUGCAAGUCGAACGGAAAGGCCCUGCUUUUGUGGGGUGCUCGAGUGGCGAACGGGUGAGUAACACGUGAGUAACCUGCCCUUGACUUUGGGAUAACUUCAGGAAACUGGGGCUAAUACCGGAUAGGAGCUCCUGCUGCAUGGUGGGGGUUGGAAAGUUUCGGCGGUUGGGGAUGGACUCGCGGCUUAUCAGCUUGUUGGUGGGGUAGUGGCUUACCAAGGCUUUGACGGGUAGCCGGCCUGAGAGGGUGACCGGCCACAUUGGGACUGAGAUGAGGCCCAGACUCCUACGGGAGGCAGCAGUAGGGAAUAUUGCACAAUGGGCGGAAGCCUGAUGCAGCAACGACGCGUGCGGGAUGACGGCCUUCGGGUUGUAAACCGCUUUCGCCUGUGACGAAGCGUGAGUGACGGUAAUGGGUAAAGAAGCACCGGCUAACUACGUG
rnacentral:rRNA from 1 species